rnacentral:other from 3 species
GGUUCUCUGCCGUGUGCGAGGCGGGUCGGAUAAGCUCCGAUCCAACACCGAACGACAGGGAGCCGGACUCCGGCCGUUGCGACGCAUGCGGCGCAGUGGCAGCCGUAGCGCAGGCGGUCGGGAGGCGCCCACCUGCGAGGGCAGGGUUCGGGAGCUUCGUCCCGUACGGCAUGGCGGAGAACAG